rnacentral:rRNA from 1 species
AUUGAACGCUGGCGGCAUGCCUUACACAUGCAAGUCGAACGGUAACAGGUCUUCGGAUGCUGACGAGUGGCGAACGGGUGAGUAAUACAUCGGAACGUGCCUAGUAGUGGGGGAUAACUACUCGAAAGAGUGGCUAAUACCGCAUGCGAUCUCAGGAUGAAAGCAGGGGAUCGCAAGACCUUGUGCUACUAGAGCGGCCGAUGGCAGAUUAGGUAGUUGGUGGGAUAAAAGCUUACCAAGCCGACGAUCUGUAGCUGGUCUGAGAGGACGAUCAGCCACACUGGGACUGAGACACGGCCCAGACCCCUACGGGAGGCAGCAGUGGGGAAUUUUGGACAAUGGGCGCAAGCCUGAUCCAGCAAUGCCGCGUGCAGGAUGAAGGCCUUCGGGUUGUAAACUGCUUUUGUACGGAACGAAAAGCCCUGGGUUAAUACCCUGGGGUCAUGACGGUACCGUAAGAAUAAGCACCGGCUAACUACGUGCCAGCCGCCGCUGUAAAAC